UCANCCUGGGAACUGCGUUCUGAACUGGGUGACUAGAGUGUNUCAGAGGGAGGUAGAAUUCCACGUGUAGCAGUGAAAUGCGUAGAGAUGUGGAGGAAUACCGAUGGCGAAGGCAGCNUCCUGGGAUAACACUGACGUUCAUGCCCGAAAGCGUGGGUAGCAAACAGGAUUAGAUACCCUGGUAGUCCACGCCCUAAACGAUGUCGAUUAGCUGUUGGGCAGCAUGACUGCUUAGUAGCGAAGCUAACGCGUGAAAUCGACCGCCUGGGGAGUACGGUCGCAAGAUUAAAACUCAAAGGAAUUGACGGGGACCCGCACAAGCGGUGGAUGAUGUGGAUUAAUUCGAUGCAACGCGAAGAACCUUACCUGGUCUUGACAUGUGCGGAACCCUCCAGAGACGGAGGGGUGCCUUCGGGAGCCGUAACACAGGUGCUGCAUGGCUGUCGUCAGCUCGUGUCGUGAGAUGUUGGGUUAAGUCCCGCAACGAGCGCAACCCUUGUCAUUAGUUGCCAUCAUUAAGUUGGGCACUCUAAUGAGACUGCCGGUGACAAGCCGGAGGAAGGUGGGGAUGACGUCAAGUCCUUAUGGCCCUUAUGACCAGGGCUUCACACGUCAUACAAUGGUCGGUACAGAGGGUAGCCAAGCCGCGAGGUGGAGCCAAUCUCACAAAACCGAUCGUAGUCCGGAUUGCACUCUGCAACUCGAGUGCAUGAAGUCGGAAUCGCUAGUAAUCGCAGGUCAGCAUACUGCGGUGAAUACGUUCCCGGGUCUUGUACACACCGCCCGUCACACCAUGGGAGUGGGGGAUACCAGAAGUAGGUAGG
rnacentral:rRNA from 1 species